CACAUCGUUCAAGUCACAGGAGAGAGGAGAGAGAAGAGCGAGAGAGAGCUCACAUGGAGUCUCGUGUAUUUAUGGAGCUCAGUUUUCCCUCCCAGGCAGGAUAUCUCGGCAGUGCUUUCCAGGCCAGAGGGAGUUGUGCUGUAGCAGUCACAGGCUGCAGGGGUGUGCUGUGGGCGGGCUGCCGGGCCGGUUUGCCUUGACUGACAGUCUGGCAGCAGGGCCUGCAGCUCUGCCUGUGCUCUGUGUGGGCAGCAGGCCUUGCCCUCCAGCUCUGCCCUGUGCCCCAAGCACAGGCCUUGUGUGCAGGUUUUGCCAUAUUCCUGCUGGUCCAGGCCCAGCCCUUCCCCACAUGCACACACACACUCACGGUGAGGUGCUUCCGACCCAUAUCAAUAAUUCAGUGAGAUUUGGAUCCAGGAUCUCACAAAGGAUUCUUAGGCUUUUACAAACUCAAGUAAGGUGAACUAAUAAAGAUAAACACUUGCUCAGCCUGUGAUGAUACUGUGGAGCUUCAGUGCGUAAUACCUCUCAGACCAAGCAUCUCGCAAGACUCAUGAAGAACCAACUGGGCACAGGCAAACAAGACUUCUAAUAAUCCAAAUAUAUAUAAUCCAAAUAUGUUUGUUGGAUGAAUAUACUGCCUCUGACUCAAAUGUUUGUACAAAUAACCACUCUCAGAAAGCAUGAAGAAUCACUAAUAGGUAAUGGACUUGUUCGCUGUGUCUAGUGGCACAUCUUUUUCUUAUGCUAAAGUAUCUAUGAGACUUAGAGAACCACAGCUUUGAUUUAGGAUGUCAGUACUCAUGUUCCCUUUUUAUUUGGUGCUACCUAGAAUGACCUAAAAUAACAAAAAUUGGCAUAGGCAUUUUGCAUUUGGUCCUUCUCUAUUCAGGUGUCUUCAUCUCAGCCAGAACAUAAAAAUAACAAAAACAACUUUCCUUUAAAAGGACAUGUUAGUAAUUUUGUCUAUAUACAGUUACUUUUCAAAUUGUGUUAAUCUGGUGGAUGUCUAUAUAUUUUUAGUGUUCUACUCUUUACUUGAAAACUAUUCAUAAUUUGUAUUGUGUUCACACAUAAGCUCUGCACUGUGUUGAUGAACAUAGUUUAUGUCCCGUUCUUUUCCCACCUUUCUGUUAUGACCUCAUUUUUUCAGGUGGCUGUUUCCAAUAAAUUUGACUCAAUAGUAUUUUUCUUGGCUAUGCAAGAGGUGGGCAUCCAAGAAUCAGUGCCUUAUUUCAGGACCUCAAACGACAUUUUAGAUGAUACUGAAAUAAAAUCCCCAACAAAAACAUUCUAUUAGAGUAUAGGUACUAAUUUUGGGAACAUGGAGGGUGUAAUCCAGCUGUUCCUUAAGGCUCGAGGCUUCUACAGCAGUGAUAUGAAAAAGACAAUCCUAACAGCAAAGCAGAUAUUCUUAAAAAAGUAAUUUCAGAAUAGCAAGGAACAAAGCCAAAAAUUCCUCAGGAUCAAUAGGAUUUUCCAUUUAAUAUUUAAAGACAUGGUUUGGUUCUGGAUAAACUACUUAUUCAACUUUCCCAGCCAUAAAAAACCAUGAUUCUAAAUGAGAUGAAGGGCAAUUUUGGCCAAGCAUCUAAUGGACUUAUUUAAACAGCACAGCAAAACAGAAGGGUGAUAGUUCGUGGUGGAGGGUGUCUUUCAUGGUGUGCGUUUUUUUUUUAAAUUGUGUUAAUAAAAUCUUAAAAAACCUUUUAUCCCAUAAAAGGCUGUGUUUUCAUACCUGCUGUUUAUGCUUUCAAAAUGGACAGUAUGCAAGUCCUGAUACCUCAUCAUAUAGGAAGCAUUUAAAACAUUUAAGGCUCCCUCUGAGAUGAGCUUUCAAGAGCAAGAAGUUUUGCCAAACCUGCUUGAAUUUUUCUUGAAGAAAGUGUUCUUUAUUAAUGCCUUCCUCUUUUCUGGAGCGGGUAAAAAUGGCCUCCCUAUUCUCAUGGGUAAAAUGAACAUUCCUGCAAAGCUUUUGAAGAUAUGAAAAAAAAUGGUACUUCUUCUGAAGAAAAAAAUUGAGCAAGUCUGAAAUGUUUAGAGCUUCUGAUUAAACCUUCAGUGGUAUGUUUCUCUUACACAAAGCAUUUGUCAAAACUAACAUGUCUGCUAGAGUCUUAUUUAUGCCACUGGACUGAAACUGACCGAAUAAUUUGUGUUGUUUAUUGUUCAGUAAAGAUUU